GUCCUGGCCCUAAACGGUGUUCACUUGGUGUGCGGGGAGUCGACCCCCUGCGUGCCGAAGCUAACGCGAUAAGUGAACCGCCUGGGAAGUACGGCCGCAAGGCUAAAACUCAAAGAAAUUGACGGGGGCCCGCACAAGCGGUGGAGCAUGUGGCUUAAUUCGAUGCAACGCGAAGAACCUUACCUGGCCUUGACAUGCUGGUGGUAGAAACCUGAAAGGGUGACGAUCCCGAGCAAUCGGGAAGCCAGCACAGGUGCUGCAUGGUUGUCGU
rnacentral:rRNA from 1 species